GAUGAACGCUGGCGGCGUGCCUAAUACAUGCAAGUCGAGCGAACAGACGAGGAGCUUGCUCCUUUGACGUUAGCGGCGGACGGGUGAGUAACACGUAGGUAACCUACCUAUAAGACUGGGAUAACUUCGGGAAACCGGAGCUAAUACCGGAUAAUAUUUCGAACCGCAUGGUUCGAUAGUGAAAGAUGGCUUUGCUAUCACUUAUAGAUGGACCUGCGCCGUAUUAGCUAGUUGGUAAGGUAACGGCCUACCAAGGCAACGAUACGUAGCCGACCUGAGAGGGUGAUCGGCCACACUGGAACUGAGACACGGUCCAGACUCCUACGGGAGGCAGCAGUAGGGAAUCUUCCGCAAUGGGCGAAAGCCUGACGGAGCAACGCCGCGUGAGUGAUGAAGGUCUUCGGAUCGUAAAACUCUGUUAUUAGGGAAGAACAAACGUGUAAGUAACUGUGCACGUCUUGACGGUACCUAAUCAGAAAGCCACGGCUAACUACGUG
rnacentral:rRNA from 1 species